GACGUAGGGCGCGAGCGUUGUCCGGAUUUAUUGGGCGUAAAGAGCUCGUAGGCGGCUUGUCGCGUCGACUGUGAAAACCCGUGGCUCAACCAUGUGGUCUGCAGUCGAUACGGGCAGGCUAGAAUUCGGUAGGGGAGACUGGAAUUCCUGGUGUAGCGGUGAAAUGCGCAGAUAUCAGGAGGAACACCGGUGGCGAAGGCGGAUCUCUGGGACGGUACUGACGCUGAGACGCGAAAGCGUGGGGAGCGAACAGG
rnacentral:rRNA from 1 species